rnacentral:rRNA from 1 species
GAUGAACGCUAGCGGGAGGCUUAACACAUGCAAGUCGAGGGGCAGCAUAGGGUAGCAAUACUCUGAUGGCGAACCGGCAAACGGGUGAGUAACGCGUAUGUAACCUACCCUGUACAGGGGGAUAACCCGGAGAAAUUCGGACUAAUAUCCCAUAACAAUAUCCGGGGGCAUCUUUGGAUAUUUAAAGUUCCGGCGGUACGGGAUGGGCAUGCGUAACAUUAGCUAGUUGGUAAGGUAACGGCUUACCAAGGCUUUGAUGUUUAGGGGUCCUGAGAGGGUGGUCCCCCACACUGGUACUGAGACACGGACCAGACUCCUACGGGAGGCAGCAGUGAGGAAUAUUGGUCAAUGGGCGCAAGCCUGAACCAGCCAUCCCGCGUGCAGGAAGACGGCGCUAUGCGUUGUAAACUGCUUUUCCCACGGGACGAGAAACUUCGCGCACGUGUUGCGCAAUUGUACGGUACCCUGGAAUAAGGCAUCGGCUAACUCCGUCGCCAGCACGCCGGACGGUAAACUGUAGUCGU